UGAAACUAUGUCUCUCCAAGUCCCGGUC
rnacentral:piRNA from 1 species